rnacentral:rRNA from 1 species
UACAGAGGUGGCAAGCGUUGUUCGGAAUUACUGGGCGUAAAGGGCGCGUAGGCGGCCCACUAAGUCAGACGUGAAAUCCCCCGGCUUAACCUGGGAACUGCGUCUGAUACUGGAGGGCUUGAGUAUGGGAGAGGGAUGUAGAAUUCCAGGUGUAGCGGUGAAAUGCGUAGAUAUCUGGAGGAACACCGGUGGCGAAGGCGGCAUCCUGGACCGGCAUUGACGCUGAGGAGCGAAAGCCAGGGGAGCAAACGGG